UUUCGAAUCAUUCACAAUGGGGGAAACCCUGAUGGUGCAACGCCGCGUGGAGGAUGACGGCCCUAGGGUUGUAAACUCCUGUCACCAAGGAACAAACGGCAGGUUCAUAGCCUGUCCUGAGUUAACUUGGAGAGGAAGAGGUGGCUAACUCCGUGCCAGCAGCCGCGGUAAUACGGAGACCUCGAGCGUUACUCGGAUUCACUGGGCGUAAAGAGUAUGUAGGCCGUUCGGUAUGUCAGGUGUGAAAGCCCGGGGCUCAACCCCGGAACUGCGCUUGAAACUAUCGGACUUGAGACCUGGAGAGGGGAGUGGAAUUCCUGGUGUAGCGGUGAAAUGCGUAGAUAUCAGGAGGAACACCAAUGGCGAAGGCAGCUCCCUGGACAGGUUCUGACGCUGAGAUACGAAAGUGUGGGUAGCGAAAGGGAUUAGAUACCCCCGUAGUCC
rnacentral:rRNA from 1 species